UGUAUGAGUGGAUAUAAUGUCACAGACCCGAAUCUCCGAAUAAACAUCAGUAACCCAUGCACAGAUAUUAAUGAAUGUCUUGACCCAUCAUCAGUGUGUGGGCCGAACGCUUACUGUCACAAUUACAAUGGAAGUUACUCGUGCUCUUGUUGGGAAGGAUAUAACAUCAUUAAUGGAAAUCAAAGUAUUAGUGACAGUAACCCAUGCACUGAUGUGAAUGAAUGUGAUGAGAUACCUGAGGUCUGUGGUCCAAACUCAAUCUGCAUCAACACUGAUGGGAGUUACAAUUGCUCGUGUAUGAGUGGAUAUAAUGUAACAGACCCGAACCUCCCUAUAAACAUCAGUAAUCCAUGCAGAGAUAUUUAUGAAUGUCUUGACUCAUCAUCAGUGUGUGGGCCGAACGCUUACUGUCACAAUUACAAUGGAAGUUACACAUGUUCUUGUUGGGAAGGAUAUAACAUCACUGAUGUAUCUCACAAUAUUUGUAACA